AUACGUAGGGGGCGAGCGUUAUCCGGAAUUAUUGGGCGUAAAGAGUGCGUAGGCGGUUACUUAAGCGUGGGGUGAAGGCCAUUGGCUUAACCAAUGUAAGCCCCGCGAACUGGGUAGCUUGAGUGCAGGAGAGGAAAGCGGAAUUCCUAGUGUAGCGGUGAAAUGCGUAGAUAUUAGGAGGAACACCAGUGGCGAAGGCGGCUUUCUGGACUGUAACUGACGCUGAGGCACGAAAGCGUGGGGAGCAAACAGGAUUAGAUACCCUGGUAGUCCACGCCGUAAACGAUGAGCACUAGGUGUCGGGGUUGUAAGACUUCGGUGCCGCAGUUAACGCAUUAAGUGCUCCGCCUGGGGAGUACGUGCGCAAGCAUGAA
rnacentral:rRNA from 1 species